AACGAACGCUGGCGGCAUGCCUAACACAUGCAAGUCGAACGAGACCUUCGGGUCUAUUGGCGCACGUGUGCGUAACGCGUGGGAACCUGCCCUUAGGUUCGGAAUAACUCCCCGAAAGGGGUGCUAAUACCGGAUAAUGUCUUCGGAGCAAAGAUUUAUCGCUUUUGGGUGGGCCCUCGUUGGAUUAGCUGGUUGGUAGGGUAAAAGCCUACCAAGGCCACGUUCCAUAGCUGGUCUGAGAGGAUGAUCCGCCACACUGGGAGUGAGACACGGCCCAGACUCCUACGGGAGGGAGCAGUGGGGAAUAUUGGACAAUGGGCGAAGGCAUGAUCCAGCAAGGCCGGGGGAGUGAUGAAGGCCUUAGGGUUGUCAAGCUGUUUUACACGGGGUGAUAAUGACAGUACCGGGAGAAGAAGCACCGGCUAACUCCGUG
rnacentral:rRNA from 1 species